UACUCGAAAUAACCAAAGAUUAAUGAUAUAUCAUGGUCAUUACAUUAUAUUUUAUCAUGAAAAUAGUUGAACCAGUAGGUUUCUUGGUUAAAAUAUUGUUGUAUGAUCUAUAUAUAUAUAUAUAAAGUACUGUUUGCUUCACUCCCAUGCUGGCACGUUAUCGUCAUGUCACAAAGUCGAGUUCUCUGCUGUUGACACGUGUCCCGCCUCUUCAAAACGCAGCGGUUCAUUAAGUCGGAUGUUUUUGUUGUUUGAUGGGCUUAAUCCAAUAAUGGGCUGCUCUUCUAUUAUUAUGUUUUUGUCGUGUCAAUUUUCAGGCUCCGUAGAAAGAUACCUCCUUCGCGAGAGACGAUAGAGAGAAUUAGGGUUAGUCAUCUUCUUCCAUAUGUGAAAUCCGAGAGCUUGACCAACAAUGGGGAUUAAACAUGUCAAGUCAGAGAAAUCGUCGUGAAAAAAUCUCUGUAUCAAGCUCCUAAUGCGUCGUUUCGUAUUUGGUCGUUACCUCCGAGAUGUUACGAGUUAUGUUGAUUCAUAUAAA
rnacentral:lncRNA from 1 species